UCCCUGGUGGUCUAGUGGUUAGGAUUUGGUGCUUUCACCACUGUGGCCCAUGUUCAAUCCCUGGUAUGGGAA
rnacentral:tRNA from 1 species